CCAAUAGCGUAUAUUAAAGUUGUUGCAGUUAAAAAGCUCGUAGUUGAACUUCGGGGUCUACCCAUUGGUCAGGCUUAAUUGUCUGCACUGGUGAGAUGGAUCUCUACCUUCUGAGGAACUUUCAUGCCAUUUAUUUGGUGUGAUGGGAAAUCAGGACUGUUACUUUGAAAAAAUUAGAGUGUUUAAAGCAGGCUAUCGUCUGAAUACAUUAGCAUGGAAUAAUGAAAUAGGACGGACUGAUUCUAUUUCGUUGGUUUCUAGGAUCACCGUAAUGAUUAAUAGGGAUAGUUGGGGGCAUUAGUAUUCAAUUGUCAGAGGUGAAAUUCUUGGAUUUAUUGAAGACUAACUACUGCGAAAGCAUUUGCCAAGGAUGUUUUCAUUAAUCAAGAACGAAAGUUAGGGGAUCGAAGACGAUCAGAUACCGUCGUAGUCUUAACCAUAAACUAUGCCGACUAGGGAUCGGACGAAGUUAAUUUUAUAAUGACGCGUUCGGCACCUUACG
rnacentral:rRNA from 1 species